rnacentral:rRNA from 1 species
CAAUAGCGUAUAUUUAAGUUGUUGCAGUUAAAAAGCUCGUAGUUGGAUUUCGGAUGGGACGCAGCGGUCUCGCAUUGCGUUUGUACUGCUGCAGCCCUCCUUCUUGCCGGGGGCGGCCUCUCGGACUUCACUGUCUGGGGGUCAGAAUCGGCGAUGUUACUUUGAGUAAAUUAGAGUGUUCAAAGCAAGCUUACGCUCUGAAUAUAAUAGCAUGGGAUAACACGACAGGACUCUGGCCUAUCGUGUUGGUCUAUAGGACCAGAGUAAUGAUUAAGAGGGACAGUCGGGGGCAUUCGUAUUCCGUUGUCAGAGGUGAAAUUCUUGGAUUUACGGAAGACGAACAUCUGCGAAAGCAUUUGCCAAGGAUGUUUUCAUUGA